GCCCUUGUAGUGAAAUGGAUAUCACGCGACGCUUCGAACGUCGAGCUCUAGGUUCAAUUCCUAGCAAGGGCA
rnacentral:tRNA from 1 species